rnacentral:rRNA from 1 species
CAGCCGCCACGGGAAUACGAAGGGGGCUAGCGUUGUUCGGAUUUACUGGGCGUAAAGCGCACGUAGGCGGAUUCUUAAGUCAGAGGUGAAAUCCCAAGGCUCAACCUUGGAACUGCCUUUGAUACUGGGGAUCUUGAGUUCGGGAGAGGUGAGUGGAACUGCGAGUGUAGAGGUGAAAUUCGUAGAUAUUCGCAAGAACACCAGUGGCGAAGGCGGCUCACUGGCCCGAUACUGACGCUGAGGUGCGAAAGCGUGGGGAGCAAACAGGAUUAGAUACCCCUGUAGUCCCUGUCUCUUAUAC